rnacentral:rRNA from 1 species
AUGGACAUUGCAAAGAGUGGCGAACGGGUGAGUAACACGUGGGAAACCUACCUCUUAGCAGGGGAUAACAUUUGGAAACAGAUGCUAAUACCGUAUAACAAUAGCAACCGCAUGGUUGCUACUUAAAAGAUGGUUCUGCUAUCGCUAAGAGAUGGUCCCGCGGUGCAUUAGCUAGUUGGUAAGGUAAUGGCUUACCAAGGCAAUGAUGCAUAGCCGAGUUGAGAGACUGAUCGGCCACAUUGGGACUGAGACACGGCCCAAACUCC